rnacentral:rRNA from 1 species
UACGGGGGGGGCAAGCGUUGUUCGGAAUUACUGGGCGUAAAGGGCUCGUAGGCGGCCAACUAAGUCAUACGUGAAAUCCCUCGGCUUAACCGGGGAACUGCGUCUGAUACUGGAUGGCUUGAGUUCGGGAGAGGGAUGCGGAAUUCCAGGUGUAGCGGUGAAAUGCGUAGAUAUCGGGAGGAACACCGGUGGCGAAGGCGGCCUUCUGGACGGAUACUGACGCUGAGACGCGAAAGCGUGGGGAGCAAACAGG